rnacentral:lncRNA from 1 species
CUCAGCUCCUCCUUCCUCGUAUCUGACUCUUCACGACUUUGCAGACAGAGGCUGCAGUUCUGGGAAAAGAGGAGCAAGGUGUCUUUCUUCCCUUAUGUGACUGUGACUGCUGGCAGAGACGCUCAGAUCUCUCAGGAAGAAGCACUAAAACAUCUGCAGUGCUUAGAUCACUAAAGGUCAAAGUGCAGCCUGGAGAUCCAGUCAAAGGCACAGAACCAAAGGAAAGAAGGGAAUGGAAUUAAUAUGAGAAAG